ACAAAAACAACAACACAAAACAAUAACAACAAAAAACAAAACAAAAAGCAUCAACAACAACAACAAACGAAAACAACAAUAACAAACAAACAAAAACACCAACAACAACAAACAAACAAAAGCAACAACAAACAAACAAAAACAACAACUACAACAACAAACAAAAACAACAACAAUAACAAUAAUAACAACAACAAGACCAACAAUAAACAAAAACAACAACAACAACAACAACAAAAAUAACAACAAUAACAACAUCAACGAAAACAAAAACAACAACAAACAACAACAACAAGAACAACAAGA
rnacentral:lncRNA from 1 species